CCUACGGGAGGCAGCAGUGGGGAAUAUUGGACAAUGGGGGGAACCCUGAUCCAGCCAUGCCGCGUGUGUGAAGAAGGCCCUCGGGUUGUAAAGCACUUUCAGUGAGGAAGAACGCCUGUUGGUUAAUACCCAUCAGGAAAGACAUCACUCACAGAAGAAGCACCGGCUAACUCCGUGCCAGCAGCCGCGGUAAUACGGAGGGUGCGAGCGUUAAUCGGAAUUACUGGGCGUAAAGCGCGCGUAGGUGGCUUGAUAAGCCGGUUGUGAAAGCCCCGGGCUCAACCUGGGAACGGCAUCCGGAACUGUCAAGCUAGAGUGCAGGAGAGGAAGGUAGAAUUCCCGGUGUAGCGGUGAAAUGCGUAGAGAUCGGGAGGAAUACCAGUGGCGAAGGCGGCCUUCUGGACUGACACUGACACUGAGGUGCGAAAGCGUGGGUAGCAAACAGGAUUAGAUACCCCAGUAGUC
rnacentral:rRNA from 1 species